GCCCCUAUGGCGUAGUGGUAGCGCGUGUCACUUGUACUCCUAGUGCUAUGACAAGGUCUCUCGUUCGAUCCGGGAUGGGGGCA